rnacentral:rRNA from 1 species
UACGUAGGGAGCAAGCGUUGUCCGGAAUCAUUGGGCGUAAAGCGCGCGUAGGCGGCCUCAUAAGUCCGUUGUGAAAGUCAAAGGCUCAACCUUUGAAAGCCGAUGGAUACUGUGAGGCUAGAGUCCGGAAGAGGCGAGUGGAAUUCCUGGUGUAGCGGUGGAAUGCGCAGAUAUCAGGAGGAACACCAAUAGCGAAGGCAGCUCGCUGGGACGGUACUGACGCUAAGGCGCGAAAGCCAGGGGAGCAAACGGG